rnacentral:tRNA from 1 species
GCAGUAGCUCGAUGGGAGAGCUCCCGCUUCGCACUCGGGAAGACCUGGGUUCGAUUCCUCGCUGC